rnacentral:rRNA from 1 species
UGCCAGCAGCCACGGUAAUACGGAGGGUGCGAGCGUUAAUCGGAAUUACUGGGCGUAAAGCGCACGUAGGCGGUUUAUUAAGUCGGAUGUGAAAGCCCCGGGCUCAACCUGGGAACUGCAUUCGAUACUGGUAGACUAGAAUUUGGGAGAGGUAAGUGGAAUUUCCGGUGUAGCGGUGAAAUGCAUAGAGAUCGGAAGGAACACCAGUGGCGAAGGCGGCUAACUGGCUCGGUACUGACGCUGAGAUGCGAAAGCGUGGGGAGCAAACAGGAUUAGAUA